UUCCAGCUCCAGUAGCGUAUAUUUAAGUUGUUGCAGUUAAAAAGCUCGUAGUUGGACUUUGGGACGGGUCGGUCGGUCCGCCUCGCGGUGUGCACCGGUCGUCCCAUCCCUUCUGUCGGCGAUGCGUGCCUGGCCUUAACUGGCCGGGUCGUGCCUCCGGCGCUGUUACUUUGAAGAAAUUAGAGUGCUCAAAGCAAGCCCACGCUCUGGAUACAUUAGCAUGGGAUAACAUCACAGGAUUUCGGUCCUAUUGUGUUGGCCUUCGGGAUCGGAGUAAUGAUUAAGAGGGACAGUCGGGGGCAUUCGUAUUUCAUAGUCAGAGGUGAAAUUCUUGGAUUUAUGAAAGACGAACCACUGCGAAAGCAUCUGCCAUGGAUGUUUUCAUCA
rnacentral:rRNA from 1 species